AUACAUGCAAGUCGAACGCGUCUCCGUUAAUGAUUUUAGGUGCUUGCACUUGAAAGAUUUAACAUUGAGACGAGUGGCGAACUGGUGAGUAACACGUGGGUAACCUGCCCUUGAAGUAGGGGAUAACACUUGGAAACAGGUGCUAAUACCGUAUAACAACCAAAACCACCUGGUUUUGGUUUAAAAGACGGCUUCGGCUGUCACUUUAGGAUGGACCCGCGGCGUAUUAGCUUGUUGGUAAGGUAACGGCUUACCAAGGCGAUGAUACGUAGCCGACCUGAGAGGGUAAUCGGCCACAUUGGGACUGAGACACGGCCCAAACUCCUACGGGAGGCAGCAGUAGGGAAUCUUCCACAAUGGACGAAAGUCUGAUGGAGCAACGCCGCGUGAGUGAUGAAGGGUUUCGGCUCGUAAAACUCUGUUGUUGGAGAAGAACAGGUGUCAGAGUAACUGUUGACAUCUUGACGGUAUCCAACCAGAAAGCCACGGCUAACUACGUGCCAGCAGCCGCGGUAAUACGUAGGUGGCAAGCGUUGUCCGGAUUUAUUGGGCGUAAAGCGAGCGCAGGCGGUUUUUUAGGUCUGAUGUGAAAGCCUUCGGCUUAACCGGAGAAGUGCAUCGGAAACCGGGAGACUUGAGUGCAGAAGAGGACAGUGGAACUCCAUGUGUAGCGGUGAAAUGCGUAGAUAUAUGGAAGAACACCAGUGGCGAAGGCGGCUGUCUGGUCUGUAACUGACGCUGAGGCUCGAAAGCAUG
rnacentral:rRNA from 1 species